UUAAUAAUGUGUUUGUUGAAGUAAUCUGUUUUGGGUGGUUGUUAAAGUUCAAGAUUGGGCUUUUCCAGUUAUUGGUGACGCCUGAUAAAGAAAGGAACAUAGAGCAUGUUCGGAAGGCCAUCGAGGAGGCUGUUCAAAAGGGUGCCCAGCUUGUUCCUUGCCUAUAACGACAUGGAUGCUUCAUGCAUCAAUCUUGCUACUCAGACAAAGCGAGCCAUGAAUUGAUGAUCACGUUUUUCACCUUUCAGUUUGAUGAGCCAAAACUGUGGUGGAAUAUAAACAACAUUGGUGCUUUAUGAAAUGGUGGUUUUGGUUUACACAAAUUACACGUAAUGCAUUUGGCAAGCAAGUUUUUAAAAUGAAUAUAACAUCAUAGCAUCAAGUUAAGGCCCUUCCAUUUUUUUUAUAUAAUGUCAGGAAAUAUGGAACAGCACAUAUUCGAAUGACAGCUUCCCAGUUUAUGCUGAAGAUAUUGACGCAGGUGGUGAUGCGUCUCCUUCAACAGCUAUGCUGUCUGAAGUUUCUAGUCACCCGACGAUCACAAUAGUUGAUGGCUAUAUACCUGAACGCUGUGGGGAUUAGUUGUACAAUACUUGUUGUGUCUUUGGUACUGAUGGAAAGCUGAAAGCCAAGCACCGCAAGAUUCACCUUUUUGAUAUUGAUAUUCCUGGGGAGAUUACCUUUAUGGAAUCCAAGACCCG